rnacentral:lncRNA from 1 species
GCGACCUUAUAGAAACUGCACCCUUUAAAAAAUAGAAAUUUCUUAUGAGCAUGUAUAAUGUGGUCCUUGAGGAGCAUUGUUUGCUUCUACUCCCUUAGUCAAAAGACCUUGGGAGAUUUUUUUCGAUUUGAAAUUUUGGCAACGGCUUAAAAAUUAUAAGAUGAUUAUUCAAAAUAAUAAUAAUAAAAAAUUGAGUUUUCUAAUACUUAAGUCACAUCUUCUAAAAAAUGAAUGGUUUAUAUCCAAUCUUGAGACAUUAUUAUUAUUAUUAUUAAGUGCUUAGAAGGCGUAAUUAGGAAAUUUUUUUUGUUGAGAUCAAUGUAUGUGUUGAAGAGAUUGUGUCCCCAAAAUUCAAGGUCCAAAAACAAGUCCUAGUGAAGUUCUACCCGAGGGAGUAAAUAGAUAGUAUAUUCUCGAAUGAGUUGAAUAUUUUUUGACAUUAAUUGUAGAUUUUAGUUGGAAAACUCUACAAAGAGACUAUUUUCUUUUAAUACAAUGAGGUCAUAAUGCUAUUAUCCGUCAGAUUUCAAAUUGGGUAGUUGUGAGUGUAUUGUUAACUAAACUCAAAGCUCAAUAAAAUUUUCUAACUUUAUGCCGCAUCCAAAACUAUCCAAUUUGAUAUCUAAUGGAUUGUAGCAAUUGUGACUCUUUGUAAUAAAGAUAAAUGGUUUCCCAAUAUGCUAUCUCUUUUAGUUGAACUCCCUUUUGGACUGUCCAUCUUGAAGAACAUCUAUACUUUGGUUAUCUUUGGCGGGCAGCAAACAGUUCAAAUGCACUCCCCUUUCAAAAAGUCAUCUUAGAGAUGGAUUUUGGAUUUGAAAUUUUACGGAUUGACAGUUUCGUUCAUAAAUUUUUUAAAAAAGGAUUUUCAAACCUCAUUUUUAUACAUUUCCAAACUUAAAUGCAUGAAAUUUCAUCCUAUGAAUUUGAUAAUCUAAAGUAAAUGAUCUUCUAGUAUACAAUUCCAAACUUUAAUGUAUGAAAUUUCAUCCGAUAAAUUUGAUAAUCUAGAAGUCGGAUUUGUUUUGUCUUUCUACCUAUUACAAAAAAAUUGAAAACUCAUUCAACAGGGCAUCCAUUUGUGGCAACCACAAACUGAAGCAUUGGUUUUGGC